AGUUGCAUUGAAGAACUCAAAACGGAAAAGCAAAGAAUUGCAAAGAAAUUUAAGUCAUUUAAUGCUCUCCGUUCGCAUAAAAAUUAAAGUAUAGUUUAUUUACUAUUCAUAAACUAAAAUAAAAAUAAAAAGUUUAUAAUUUCUUAAUUUGUAUUCGUACUCCGAUUUAUAAUAAUAAAAUAAACAUAAAAUGCAUUGAAAUAACAAGAAACAGUCGCGUCCAUGACGUACACGAAGCGCAGUCGACGAAACGUUUUGAUGCGCAUUGUUGGUAAUAGAAACGGCGACGGCGAAUUUUGCGUUUGCAAUUAAAUUAUUAUAAACAAAAAUAUUGGUAAAAGCAAAUAAACAAUAAAUAAAUGAAAUGCAUCGGUUUUUAUGUGAGUGUGUUUUUUGAAAAUAGUGAACAUUUUAAUUCUAAUUCGGUGAAAUACAUAAGUGUGCGAAGAUUUGGCAAAAAUUUGCAGUCUUAAGUUUGUGUGUGUGAACAUAAAAUUAAUGUAAUUAUGACGAAAUACCUUUUUGCAUAGGAGCUACUAUCAAAAUGUAAUAAAUUCAUUUAAUCGCUUAAAAGGCAGCUAACGCAAGCUCGUCGCUCAUUUCAGCGUCUGGCGGCGACUGACGGCGAAUUCGAUUCAGUUGGCGUGCGCUGAUCAAUUGACGUUGACUUGGUGAGAUCGCUCGUUGGGUACAUAUACAUAUACAUACAUAUGUCAUUAUAUUUGUGGUUACCGGUGUGUCUAGUGCUGAAAGAUCAAAGAAUCUAAAUUUUGAAAAAUUCGCAAAAAUUUGAACUUUUUAUGAGCUGAAAUUGCGCAAAAAGUGUUAAAAUAUUUUCAUUAAUUACAAUAGUGUCUGAAAUAUGCGCAAAAGUGUCCACAGUGUGCUACAAAAGUGUGUGUGCGGUUAAAAAGAAAGAUAACAACAACAACUAAAAUUAAUAAAUUGUGCAAAAUUGCCAUGCAAAUUCUGCAGCAACAGGAAUUUCCGGCGUUUCUAAAAAAACAAAAACCGCUAAAUCGACUACGCCAAGUGUGUGUGUUUGUGUUAGUGUUGGCAGUGUUCGUGUGAAAGUUGUACGCAGAAUAUACCAGAUACAACAAUAUUUUCUCUUGCGGCAAAUACAAGUUUUAAACAGAAUACAACAACAAAAACAAAAAAAUACUACAACAACAA
rnacentral:lncRNA from 1 species